GCCCGGAUGGCAGAGUGGUUAUUGCACGCGGCUCGAACCCGCGGUCCUUCGGGACAUCUAGGUUCAAUUCCUAGUCCGGGCG
rnacentral:tRNA from 1 species